GAUGAACGCUGGCGGCGUGCCUAAUACAUGCAAGUCGAGCGAACGGACGAGAAGCUUGCUUCUCUGAUGUUAGCGGCGGACGGGUGAGUAACACGUGGAUAACCUACCUAUAAGACUUGGAUAACUUCGGGAAACCGUAGCUAAUACCAGAUCAUAUUUUGAACGGCAUGGUUCAAAAGUGAAAGACGGUCUUGCUGUCACUUAUAGAUGGAUCCGCGCUGCAUUAGCUAGUUGGUAAGGUAACGGCUUACCAAGGCAACGAUGCAUAGCCGACCUGAGAGGGUGAUCGGCCACACUGGAACUGAGACACGGUCCAGACUCCUACGGGAGGCAGCAGUAGGGAAUCUUCCGCAAUGGGCGAAAGCCUGACGGAGCCACGCCGCGUGAGUGAUGAAGGUCUUCGGAUCGUAAAACUCUGUUAUUAGGGAAGAACAUAUGUGUAAGUAUCUGUGCACAUCUUGACGGUACCUAAUCAGAAAGCCACGGCUAACUACGUG
rnacentral:rRNA from 1 species